rnacentral:rRNA from 1 species
GCUCAAAACUCCAAGGACUUGGCGGUGCUCCAUAUCAACCUAGAGGAGCCUGUCCUAUAAUCGAUACCCCACGUUAAACCUUACCACCUUUGGCCACUCAGCCUAUAUACCGCCGUCGCCAGCAUACCUUGUGAAAGAACCAACAGUAUGCACAACAGUUAUUAACUAAUACGUCAGGUCAAGGUGUAGCAUAUAAGAUGGAAGAGAUGGGCUACAUUUUCUGCCACAGAACAAACGAAAGGAGCAAUGAAACAUGCACCCGAAGGCGGAUUUAGCAGUAAGACAGACA